rnacentral:rRNA from 1 species
AUUGAACGCUGGCGGAAUGCUUUACGCAUGCAAGUCGAACGGUAGAGGGGGCAACCCCUCGAGAGUGGCGAACGGGUGAGUAAUAUAUCGGAACGUGCCCAGUCGUGGGGGAUAACGUAGCGAAAGUUACGCUAAUACCGCAUACGAUCUAAUGAUGAAAGCGGGGGAUCGCAAGACCUCGCGCGAUUGGAGCGGCCGAUAUCAGAUUAGGUAGUUGGUGGGGUAAAGGCUCACCAAGCCAACGAUCUGUAGCUGGUCUGAGAGGACGACCAGCCACACUGGAACUGGGACACGGUCCAGACUCCUACGGGAGGCAGCAGUGGGGGAUUUUGGACAAUGGACGCAAGUCUGAUCCAGCCAUUCCGCGUGCAGGAUGAAGGCCCUCGGGUUGUAAACUGCUUUUGUACGGAACGAAAAGGUCUCUCUUAAUACGGGGGGCUCAUGACGGUACCGUAAGAAUAAGCACCGGCUAACUACGUGCCAGCCGCCGCCGUAA